CUUCAUAACUUCUUUCUGGGAUAUCUUUUGUUGGGCCAGUUGUUACAUAUAGUGCUGUAUUUGAAUAAAUGAUGCUGAAAGUUCAUGCAUCACAACUUAGUCCAAAUAGUAAAAGACUUGCACAUGUGCAUUCCUUGUAUCAAGAAAAUGAAACUCUGUUUUGGGUCUAUAAAGCUCAGAUUGAACGCUAAUAGAGCAGUAGAAAUGGCCAAUCCAAUUAUUUUUUACCUUAUCAAGAACAAAAAUGAACACAAAAUUUGAUUUUAAGGGCAGAUAUGAAUUGCAUAUUUUAGGAGAGAAUUCAUUAGAUACCAAAAGGAGUAAAUGACAGAAACCACAGAGUGGGAAUGCAAACUUAGGAAAUACCAAAGAAAAUAUAGUCCCAUUUGCCAGAGAAAAG
rnacentral:misc_RNA from 1 species